rnacentral:rRNA from 1 species
GAUGAACGCUGGCGGCGUGCUUAACACAUGCAAGUCGAACGAAGCAUUUGCGACAGAUUUUUUCGGAAUGAAGUUGCUUAUGACUGAGUGCCGGACGGGUGAGUAACGCGUGGGUAACCUGCCUCGUACUGGGGGAUAUAAUCUCAAACCAUCUGGUAAUUCCGCAUAGGGGCCCUAUUUUCACUGACUGGGUGUGAAAAAGACCGGUGGUUUAAGUUGAACCCGCGUUGGAUUAGCUCGUUGGUAGGAUAACAGCCCAAGAAGGCGAGAAUCAGUAGCCGAGCAGAGAGGGAGAGCGGCAACAUCGGGACUAAGACGCGGCCCAGAAUCCUAGGGGAGGGAGCAAUGGGGGAUAUUGCAAAAUAGAGGAAACGCUGAAGGAGCGACGGCGCGUGAGUGAAGAAGUAAUGCGUUAAGUAAAGCUCGAUAAGAAGGGAAGAUAAUGACGGUACCUUAAGAAGAAGCCCCGGCUAAAUACGUG